GGUAUUUAAAGGGCAAUGCACCCAGGUCAAGGUGGAAGCUUGCCACUCAUCCUGAAUGCCCAUCCACAUGUUCUUUUCUUCAGCAUAUACCCUAGUCCCUGACAGCAGACUGGGAUGGCAAGUUGGGUAGAGGUGACCUCCCUCCGUCUUUUGGGUAUUAGCAUCUCCACACAAGGUCCUAGAAGGCUGAAAGCCCUGAGCCCAGCUGUUUAGCUGCAUGCGUUUCUACCAUCAAUGGCAUCUAGUUCUAAGUGCUUAAUAUAUGCUGUCUCACUGAAUAAAUACAUACCUUAGGGACAAUUAUGUCUGAUGUAUUUUCUGCACUUAUUGGUAUAGAGGUUAUUGAUACAGAAGUUAAUUCUUGACUUUAGAGUUUCCAGUGGUAACCUUCCUAGCCCUAGGAUAGAAAGUAACUCCUUGGACUAUGGAAGAGAAGUCCGAGAGGAGAGGAUGAUGGCAGACACUACUGAGUUCCCUGGAGAAGAGCUCUCUGCCUGGCCCCCAGCAGAGCCUCAGGGUAGAGGGCAGAACUCCUGGGGAGGGUAGAAAACCAAGAGUGA
rnacentral:lncRNA from 1 species